UUUGAUUUAGUCAAUGGCCGACUGAUCUGUGUGGCCGACGCGCGCAUUGUUUACAUAUCCUUCAGAUUGACACUUAUUAAUUAAAUUUAAAUUAUGCCGUCUUGUGUCGUUCCAACAUGCAAGCAUGCUACUGGGAUCACGAAGAAAUUGCAUGGGAUCACGUUUCAUGUCUUUCCAGUUGACGAAGUAAGGAAAUCAGAAUGGACAAAAAUAAUUCGAAGAGCACGGCUAGAUGAUUUAUGGAAACCAUCGAAGAAAAGCCUAAUUUGCUCAAUUCACUUUGAGGAGCAAUAUUUUUAUGAGACGCCAGGUGGUUAUAAAAGACUAUACAAAAAAGCUGUUCCAAAUAGGAAGAUGAAUUUACCUCCAGAAACGUCCGAGACACCUGUUGGAAUAUCAGUACCUUUAGUGCUCAAAAGUGAACCUACAGGAUCAAAUACAGUGAUUGAUAAUGUAAAUAAUUUGGAUUUGGUCCCAGAAAAAUACAAUGCAUCUGUGGGAAUAUCUGGACUUUUGAUACCUAAAACUGAAUUUCAGGAUACACAGCCAGAAUUGCCUACGGGAUCAAAUUCAAGCAUUGGUGAUGUUUCUGUACUUGAAUCUCCAAGAGAAAUUAUACUUAAAGCACAGUUGCGCCGUAAACAAAUGUUUUGUAAGCGAUAUGUUCGAAAAAUAAAAACUUUACAACAAAAAAUCAAACGGCUUGCUAAAAGAAAUGAAUCUUUAAAAAGUAUCAUAAGGAAUUUAAAAAAUAACCGGUAAAAUUUAAAGUAAAAUCUUUGUUAAAAUUGUUCAAAUGUUGCUUAAAAUCAAAUUGUUUCCUGUUUCGAGAGUUAAAUAUAUCAAAAAGAUGAUUCAUGUUACUAAGAAAUAGUUCAGUUGGCUUGGAAUUUUUUAAAGAUGGAUAGUUUGGCAUCCUCCCUGCAAAAUUGUAACGCCUAGUUGCCACGCUUCUACUUAAGACUUGACUAGCAAGUUUUACUUUCAUAAUAUUAUUGCGGAACAUAAAUGUCUUCGUGUAGGCUUGUUAGCGAAAUGUAAGCCUUCGUUUUCUUGGAGUUUAUUUAAUUGACGUAAAAGAUCCCAGUAAGUUUUAUUGUUAUCGUUGUCUAAAAUUACUUUUUUAGAUUCCCAAUUAUUUCGUACAAGCUUAAACACGCGGAGAGGGUCUAAAAAUAUAGCCACAGAAUUGUUUAGCCUUACAGUUGUUUUCGCACUAUUAUACUUUCGCCGAAAAAAAUAUAAGCCUAAUAUUUAAAAUCCCUAAUAUUACUGCCCUACACUACACUUUUGCCCGUAGUUUUGUAGUGUACCUAAAAUUCCUUUAUGCGAUUUAUUUCUCUUUUGGAGACGGCAGGUGUUUUUGUUUAAUUUUUUUUUAUAAUUUUCCUAUUUUGGAGAUUAAGUAAUGACCUUUUAUUUAACUUUUUUUAGGAGUGUCGAAUAUAACGUUAUAAUCGUUUAAAAUAACUAGCAUUUGCCCGCGGCUUCGCCUGCGUUCAAUUCAGUUGUCACAAUCACAAAUCAUUCGAAAUUGUAGGCUUAUGUUAUUCUGAUGUAUAAAUAGGUACUGUUAAGUUUCUUCAAAGUCUGCAUAGUAUUUUUUUGCUUGAAAACUCGCAUUUGCAUGUAUAUUAGUAGGACUAGUUGAUUUAGUAGGAUAUAAUUAUUCUAAAAGUUUACAUAAUAAAGUAUUACCUUAAGUUUC